CCUUGGACUACUUUCACCGUCCUUCCUUCAUCCCUACCCCAAAUCAUCAGAAACCACAUAAGGUCGGAGUACUUCAGUAGUAGCAAAGAGGAGAGAGUGGAUUAAAUCAACAUCAUACAGACACCAGGACAAGGCAGAGACUUGAAGAGAAGUGGUUCAUCUCAUUGGCCACCAGAUGACCUGAGGGGAAAAGGAAAUUUAAAAUGAAGAAAAUGAAUGUUGAUUUAAAAUGAAGAGAACUGUGAAAGGCCCAAAGAUGCAACAUGCGUUUCCCAAAAGACCAUACAGAGAGAACGUUCGCUUAUCGUGUCAUUGAGGCAUGUGUCAAUACUCAUAGGAUCAAAAGAAAAGCAGAGCUGCUCUCAGGCCAGCUUUCUCCAUUGAAAUCUUACCUUAAAGCUGCAGUAUGUAACUUUCUGGGCAACCAGACCAAGUUUGCAUAGAAAUGGGUUAUAGAUCUGUCACUCAUUGAAAGCAAGCCUAAGAAGCGGUAGAUCUGUUAUGUGCGCUAUAUCUAUGCUUCCAGUUCUCAAGUUUAGUUUUAGUGUCUUGGUUUUGUACACCAGCUUCACAUUGAUAGACAAUAUUUUUGGUUAUGGAAAAGUUAUUUCAGAGCAGUACAAUGAUUAUCUAAACAAUGACUGCUUGUUUUAUCAAAGUGAAAUUAGGCAAACUAGAAUUUUAGCAACCUGGAAAUGGCGGAGCGAUUUUUCUGCACAUUUAACAUUAGAAUUAUUCCACAAUACUGACGCCGUAUCAGCUCCUAGAGAUUAUCACCUAUGGCUGCUAAUAUUAAUGCACUAAAUGAAACUCAAUUGAAUAAACAUAACUGAUUUCAA